rnacentral:lncRNA from 1 species
AUGUAAUAAAGUGACUGUUCACUCUUUUUUUCACCCCUUUCUCCAGGAAAACUAUUCAGCAUCAGGAUGAUAAAGAGGAUGUGGAAUAAACAGUAAAUCAGAUGACAAAAGGAAAGAACAAAUGUAAACAAGAAAAUACAAGUAGGAGAUGGACCACAAACCUUUCAUUUCAGACAAGGAAAAAACGCCAAUAAGAUGCAUAAGAGAGAAAAGCAUAUUCCACUUCCAAAAGGGAUGGGGAGAAAUAUUCUUUCUCCACCUAUUCCAAGCCUAAUAGUUCAAACGUUUUUCCUGCAGAAUUCAGGUAUGUAAUACUUUUUUUUUUUUUUUUUUUUUUUCUAGUGGUCUGUAGUGCUUUCUCCUAUUUAAGUUUCUCCAGUACUGUGUAUAAGGAAUUUAAUAUUUGAGGUUUUAA